UGGUCUCGUGUUAUGAAUUUACCAAACGAUGAAGCUCCGGUGAGAGCUCACUAGAGAAGACGACCAUAAUUUUUCCAGGUUGUCUGAGUUAGGCCAGACACGUUGGAGGAAUGAAAUGUUCUGAUUGGUUGGAUUUGAAUUGGAAUAUGUGUGUUGCUUGUAGCAUAUUCCAUCGUGCUCUACCAUAUGGAGUGUUGGAUCUGCCACGUCAAUUAAUGAGGUGUGAUCCAACGCUCUGUGUUUUUUUUCUUUUGGAUUU
rnacentral:lncRNA from 1 species